rnacentral:rRNA from 1 species
GACGAAGGGGGCUAGCGUUGUUCGGAAUUACUGGGCGUAAAGCGCGUGUAGGCGGUUGUUCAAGUCAGGUGUGAAAGCCUUGAGCUCAACUCAAGAAAUGCACUUGAUACUGGAUGACUAGAGGACCGGAGAGGAUAGUGGAAUUCCCAGUGUAGUGGUGAAAUACGUAGAGAUUGGGAAGAACACCAGUGGCGAAGGCGGCUAUCUGGACGGUUUCUGACGCUAAGACGCAAAAGCGUGGGGAGCAAACAGG